CUAAGAAUCUUGCGCAAUGGGCGAAAGCCUGACGCAGCAAUUCCGCGUGGGGGACGAAGGCCCUCGGGUCGUAAACCCCUUUUGUGAGGGAAGAAGUUCUGACGGUACCUCACGAAUAAGACACGGCUAACUACGUGCCAGCAGCCGCGGUAAUACGUAGGUGUCGAGCGUUGUCCGGAUUUAUUGGGCGUAAAGAGCCCGCAGGCGGCUUGGUAAGUUCGAGGUGAAAUCUCCCGGCUCAACUGGGAGGGUGCCUCGAAAACCAUCAGGCUUGAGGCAGGGAGAGGGAUGUGGAAUUCCCGGUGUAGUGGUGAAAUGCGUAGAUAUCGGGAGGAACACCAGUGGCGAAGGCGGCAUCCUGGCCCUGUCCUGACGCUCAGGGGCGAAAGCGUGGGGAGCAAACC
rnacentral:rRNA from 1 species